UACGAAGGGGACUAGCGUUGUUCGGAAUCACUGGGCGUAAAGCGCACGUAGGCGGAUUUGUAAGUCAGGGGUGAAAUCCCGGGGGCUCAAACCUCGGAACUGCCUUUGAUACUGCGAAUCUUGAGUCCGAUAGAGGUGGGUGGAAUUCCUAGUGUAGAGGUGAAAUUCGUAGAUAUUAGGAAAGAACACCAGUGGCGAAGGCGGCCCCACUGGAUCGGUACUGACGCUGAAGUGCGAAAGCGUGGGGAGCGAACAGG
rnacentral:rRNA from 1 species